GAUGAAGAACGUAGCGAAAUGCGAUAAGUAAUGUGAAUUGCAGAAUUCAGUGAAUCAUCGAAUCUUUGAACGCACAUUGCGCCCGCCAGUAUUCUGGCGGGCAUGCCUGUUCGAGCGUCAUUACAACCCUCAGGCCCCCGGGCCUGGCGUUGGGGAUCGGCGGAGCCCCCCGUGGGCACACGCCGUCCCCCAAAUACAGUGGCGGUCCCGCCGCAGCUUCCAUCGCGUAGUAGCUAACACCUCGCGACUGGAGAGCGGCGCGGCCACGCCGUAAAACACCCAACUCUUCUGAAGUUGACCUCGAAUCAGGUAGGAAUACCCGCUGAACUUAAGCAUAUCAAUAAGCGGAGCA
rnacentral:misc_RNA from 1 species